GUUUGUUGUGAUGGCGGCGCUGUGUGCUUACUGCGGGUUGUCUUCUGGACCCGCUGGCCGCUGCUUGGACCCCUGGAGACUGGCAGGUGUGCAAGGGACGGAUUGGCGGACUAUUGACGGACUGAAAGUGAAAACUACAGGAAAAGCACACGUUUACGAGUCGGCAAGCGACGUAGUGGGUGUCGUCAACGAUUGCUUUAGUGUUCCAAGUCGACCCGAGGCUUCGAGGCCGAACCGCAACACACUCAUAAGAAUAGUUGACAGAGCACGGGCCUCGCAUCGGCCAAAGGAUCCUACUGACUUGUUCUUUGAGAUCGACCAUGACUACCUCGAGGAGACGAUACCUGAAGAAUUCUUACGGGCAACUGUAACAGCUGGAACCAAAAAGCACCUUAUAUUCUUUACAACAAAGUAAAUGCAUUUGUUACUUAGGGGAAAAACUUUGUUCAUUGAUGGCACCUUUAAAGUAGUCAAGAGUCCAUUCUGUCAACUGGUUUCAAUUCAAUGCUUUGUGAAAUAUGACAAUUUUAUUAUUGUUUUUUUUAUACUUAUCACAUUGUAUAACAAUACUAUCUGUAUUAUUGUAAUGCCCUUUGCCGUCACUGGUGGCUGACCUGUUAUGAUCCUUUUUAUAUAGUAACAACCUUUUUUUAUUUUCUUGUAUACUUUGUACUUUUUAUUUUGAUCAUGACACACACACACACACACACACACACACACACACACAACGUAUUAUUAACACUAAUUGGCUACGAGGGCCGAAUAAGCCAGGAACAAGGGCCGAAUAAGCCAAAGUGGUCCGAACGAGCCAGGGUCCGAAUAAGCCUGCACCGAUGUAGAGGAGUAGGAAAGGAAGGGAAAGGAGAGGAGGUAUAAUUAAUGUAACCGAGGAAGGGAAGAAGGGGAUCACAGGUACGGCAAGGAAUUUAGGGAAAAGAGGGGAAAGAAUUUUGGAAUGUUAUCGAGGAGGAGGAGGAGGUGCUGGUGGCAGGCGUGUGAGGUGUUUGUGAGGAAAAGGAAGGAAAUUCGAGCUGAUGUGUUGAUGGCUUGGGAGGAAAAGGAAAGGAGAAAAAAAUAUCGUAUACUGCUAAAGGUGUAAGUGUGUGUGUGUGUGUGUGUGUGUGUGUGUGUGUGUGUGUGCAACAGGACUGAGUCUAGGUCCUAUGUAGCGUAUCAUAUUACAGUUAUCAUAUCGGUCAUUGAUUUUGUAAGUGUGAUCCGAUUUAAUUAGGAAAAAAAGGUGUGCAUGCAUGUGUGUGUGUGUGUGUGUGUGUGUGUGUGUGUGUGUGUGUUCUAAUAACUUUCAUGCUCGGGAUAUUAAUUUUACCGAGUGUUUGCUGAUUAAAUUAAGAUCCAUUAGCUGAUAUUUAUGCUUUCCCCGAUAAUGGUUCGCCUCGUUACGCAGUGAAAGAAAGACUCGUGGAACAGUGUGUAAUUAAAGCAUAAGAAACUGUCCCCCCUGGGCCCCCUCCCUGCGCUGUGCUGGCCUCAUCACCAGCAGUUUGGGGUAAAGGUCUGGGAUUUAGGUCACGUGAUGAUGGUGAUUAGCCUUGCAGAAUGAAGCGAAUCGGCCAUUGUCUGUUGCGAUAGAAAGAAGAA